rnacentral:rRNA from 1 species
UACGGUGAUUAUUGCGUAGGUGUCCACCUUUUCCCAUUCCGAACAGAGAAGUUAAGCCCUACAGCGCCAAUGGUACUGCGGUAACACGUGGGAGAGUAGGUCGUUGCCGUGU